CCUACGGGAGACAGCAGUGGGGAAUAUUGCACAAUGGGGGAAACCCUGAUGCAGCGACGCAGCGUGAGUGAAGAAGUCACUAGUUAUGUAAAGCUCUAUUAGCAGGGAAGAAAAUGACGGUACCUGAGGAAGUAGCCCUGUCUAACUACGUGCAAGCAGCCGCGGUACUACGUAAGGGGCAGGGGUCAUCCGGAUUUACUGGGUGUAAAGGGAGUGUAGACGGCAUUGCAAGUCUGCAGUGAAAGGCGGGGGCUAAACCCCCGGACUGCUCGGGAAACUGGACGGCUGGAGUGCGGGGAAGGCAAGUGGAAUUCGUAGUGUAGCGGUGAAAUGCGUAGAUAUUAGGAGGAACCACAGUUGCGAAGGCGGCUUGCUGGACUGGAACUGACGUUGAGGCUCGAAAGCGUGGGGAGCAAACAGGAUUAGAUACCCGGGUAGUC
rnacentral:rRNA from 1 species